GGGCCGUUAGCUCAUUUGGUAGAGCGCCGCAUUUGCACUGCGGAGGUGUGGGGUUCGAAUCCCCAACGGUCCAC
rnacentral:tRNA from 15 species